rnacentral:rRNA from 1 species
UUUGGUUAAGUUAGAAAGGGCGCACGGUGGAUGCCUUGACACUAGGAGUCGAUGAAGGACGGGACUAACGCCGAUAUGCUUCGGGGAGCUGUAAGUAAGCUUUGAUCCGAAGAUUUCCGAAUGGGGAAACCCACCAUACGUAAUGGUAUGGUAUCCUUAUCUGAAUACAUAGGGUAAGGAAGACAGACCCAGGGAACUGAAACAUCUAAGUACCUGGAGGAAGAGAAAGCAAAUGCGAUUUCCUGAGUAGCGGCGAGCGAAACGGAACAUAGCCCAAACCAAGAGGCUUGCCUCUUGGGGUUGUAGGACAUUCUAUACGGAGUUACAAAGGAACGAGGUAGACGAAGCGACCUGGAAAGGUCCGUCGUAGAGGGUAACAACCCCGUAGUCGAAACUUCGUUCUCUCUUGAAUGUAUCCUGAGUACGGCGGAACACGUGAAAUUCCGUCGGAAUCUGGGAGGACCAUCUCCCAAGGCUAAAUACUCCCUAGUGAUCGAUAGUGAACCAGUACCGUGAGGGAAAGGUGAAAAGCACCCCGGAAGGGGAGUGAAAGAGAUCCUGAAACCGUGUGCCUACAAAUAGUCAGAGCCCGUUAACGGGUGAUGGCGUGCCUUUUGUAGAAUGAACCGGCGAGUUACGAUCCCGUGCGAGGUUAAGCUGAAGAGGCGGAGCCGCAGCGAAAGCGAGUCUGAAUAGGGCGUUUAGUACGUGGUCGUAGACCCGAAACCAGGUGAUCUACCCAUGUCCAGGGUGAAGUUCAGGUAACACUGAAUGGAGGCCCGAACCCACGCACGUUGAAAAGUGCGGGGAUGAGGUGUGGGUAGCGGAGAAAUUCCAAUCGAACCUGGAGAUAGCUGGUUCUCCCCGAAAUAGCUUUAGGGCUAGCCUUAAGUGUAAGAGUCUUGGAGGUAGAGCACUGAUUGGACUAGGGGUCCUCAUCGGAUUACCGAAUUCAGUCAAACUCCGAAUGCCAAUGACUUAUCCUUAGGAGUCAGACUGCGAGUGAUAAGAUCCGUAGUCAAAAGGGAAACAGCCCAGACCGCCAGCUAAGGUCCCAAAGUGUGUAUUAAGUGGAAAAGGAUGUGGAGUUGCUUAGACAACUAGGAUGUUGGCUUAGAAGCAGCCACCAUUUAAAGAGUGCGUAAUAGCUCACUAGUCGAGUGACUCUGCGCCGAAAAUGUACCGGGGCUAAAUACACCACCGAAGCUGCGGAUUGAUACCAAUGGUAUCAGUGGUAGGGGAGCGUUCUAAGGACAGUGAAGUCAGACCGGAAGGACUGGUGGAGUACUUAGAAGUGAGAAUGCCGGUAUGAGUAGCGAAAGACGGGUGAGAAUCCCGUCCACCGAAUGCCUAAGGUUUCCUGAGGAAGGCUCGUCCGCUCAGGGUUAGUCAGGACCUAAGCCGAGGCCGACAGGCGUAGGCGAUGGACAACAGGUUGAUAUUCCUGUACCACCUCUUUAUCGUUUGAGCAAUGGAGGGACGCAGAAGGAUAGAAGAAGCGUGCGAUUGGUUGUGCACGUCCAAGCAGUUAGGCUGAUAAGUAGGCAAAUCCGCUUAUCGUGAAGGCUGAGCUGUGAUGGGGAAGCUCCUUAUGGAGCGAAGUCUUUGAUUCCCCGCUGCCAAGAAAAGCUUCUAGCGAGAUAAAAGGUGCCUGUACCGCAAACCGACACAGGUAGGCGAGGAGAGAAUCCUAAGGUGUGCGAGAGAACUCUGGUUAAGGAACUCGGCAAAAUGACCCCGUAACUUCGGGAGAAGGGGUGCUUUCUUAACGGAAAGCCGCAGUGAAUAGGCCCAAGCGACUGUUUAGCAAAAACACAGCUCUCUGCGAAGCCGUAAGGCGAAGUAUAGGGGGUGACACCUGCCCGGUGCUGGAAGGUUAAGGAGAGGGGUUAGCGUAAGCGAAGCUCUGAACUGAAGCCCCAGUAAACGGCGGCCGUAACUAUAACGGUCCUAAGGUAGCGAAAUUCCUUGUCGGGUAAGUUCCGACCCGCACGAAAGGUGUAACGAUUUGGGCACUGUCUCAACCAGAGACUCGGUGAAAUUAUAGUACCUGUGAAGAUGCAGGUUACCCGCGACAGGACGGAAAGACCCCGUGGAGCUUUACUGUAGCCUGAUAUUGAAUUUUGGUACAGUUUGUACAGGAUAGGCGGGAGCCUUUGAAACCGGAGCGCUAGCUUCGGUGGAGGCGCUGGUGGGAUACCGCCCUGACUGUAUUGAAAUUCUAACCUACGGGUCUUAUCGACCCGGGAGACAGUGUCAGGUGGGCAGUUUGACUGGGGCGGUCGCCUCCUAAAGUGUAACGGAGGCGCCCAAAGGUUCCCUCAGAAUGGUUGGAAAUCAUUCGUAGAGUGCAAAGGCAUAAGGGAGCUUGACUGCGAGACCUACAAGUCGAGCAGGGACGAAAGUCGGGCUUAGUGAUCCGGUGGUUCCGCAUGGAAGGGCCAUCGCUCAACGGAUAAAAGCUACCCCGGGGAUAACAGGCUUAUCUCCCCCAAGAGUCCACAUCGACGGGGAGGUUUGGCACCUCGAUGUCGGCUCAUCGCAUCCUGGGGCUGUAGUCGGUCCCAAGGGUUGGGCUGUUCGCCCAUUAAAGCGGUACGCGAGCUGGGUUCAGAACGUCGUGAGACAGUUCGGUCCCUAUCCGUCGUGGGCGUAGGAAAUUUGAGAGGAGCUGUCCUUAGUACGAGAGGACCGGGAUGGACGCACCGCUGGUGUACCAGUUGUUCUGCCAAGGGCAUAGCUGGGUAGCUAUGUGCGGAAGGGAUAAGUGCUGAAAGCAUCUAAGCAUGAAGCCCCCCUCAAGAUGAGAUUUCCCAUAGCGUAAGCUAGUAAGAUCCCUGAAAGAUGAUCAGGUUGAUAGGUUCGAGGUGGAAGCAUGGUGACAUGUGGAGCUGACGAAUACUAAUAGAUCGAGGACUUAACCAUAUAA